GAGAAUGUGCUCAACUGUCUCCAGUGGUAAAAAGAAAGAAACCCUGAUUCUAUGACUGAUGCAAGAUAUGUGAGUUUCUCACCUGCUGUCAGCAUCCAGGCCGUAUCUACCCUGUCCCUUUCACACCUGGGCAGAACUGUAAGAGGAGCUCCGAGCCUGUGUCCCUGACUGUGGGAGGUUCCCCCAUGAGGCUCUGAUGUGGAAGAGAGCUCUGUAAGAAGGAUGGAGUCCAUUUUUCCAGAAAGGUGCUGGAGGAGACAUCUAGCUUUGGGGA
rnacentral:lncRNA from 1 species